CUCUCUAAAGUCCGUAAAUCAAUAAAUAAAAAUGUAAUAAACUUCUAAAAAAUUGCUAUUUUAUACUCUUUCUCUGAUAAUUCCAGUAUCUGAAGUGUUUGUGUCAUUAUUUAUUGUCUAUUAUUUCUGCAUGUUCUUUUCAGGAUGUCUCCUUGUAUACCUGCUAUCUUUGAAAAUGUGCUGGAAGUUACUAGAAAAAGGGAUGGAUGCCUACAGAAUUACUGAGUUAAAGGCAUGACUUUUUGAUGAAAAACUGUGCCAGUUUAUAUUACUGGCCCUUUUUGAGUGCUGUAAAAAAAUCAGAUACCCUCUCUGACCAUGUAUACUCAUCUACAAAUGGAAAUAAAAACAAUUCACAGGA